AUCCGAAGUCAGGAGCCAGGUGCUUCUCCUGGUCUCCCAUGGGGUGCAGGGCCCAAGCACUUGGGCCAUCCUCCACUGCACUCCCUGGCCACAGCAGAGAGCUGGCCUGGAAGAGGGGCAACCGGGACAGAAUCCGGCACCCCGACCAGGACUAGAACCCAGUGUGCCGGCGCCGCAAGGUGGAGGAUUAGCCUAGUGAGCCACGGCACCGGCCUGAAGCAAGGAGUUUUCAAGAGCAAGUAAGCGAGUCAGAAGGAAACCUAAGGGACCUGGGUCACAGCUUCACACAUGUCUGUUUUCAUGUGUCCCCUGGUCUGUGGGCACAAGCCAACCAAGAGCCAGGCCAGGACUGGCGUGGACAACGAUGUGAUGACAUUUGCCACAUUCUAUAGAUAAGGAAAGGCACAUGGUCAAUUGUGAAAUAAUAAUCACUAGAACCAUAAUUAAAUUCUGGUCUUCUGACCACAUAAUCCCAAGCCACUAUGUUUUUCCAUGCUCUUUCUGCCUCAAGAUCUUUAUUUUUUGCCUCUGGCUACAAUUGCCUGGAGCAGUGUGAGCUGGAGGUGUUGCACGCUGUGUGUGACAGGCUGGGUAUGAGAAUUAGGGGCUCACAUCCUAUGACCUGUACAUGGCUUAGCCCAUAACAAUGCCAACAGCUGCCUCCUCAAUGAGGUUGGAUCAUGGAGUGCUUCCAGGAUGCAGGCACCAGAGAAGUUCAACUCCUUCCUUCAGGGUGCAACUGCAGUGAUGCUGAUUUUGUAUAUUUCAACCUACAGGAUCUUGUUCAUCCUCAAUGUGGUCUUGAGAGUGUUCACAUUUGAAAGCAUCAAAUUGACUCAUCGUGCUUCCUCUCGAUUCUCCAGCCACAAGCCCGCUCAUAUCCAAGACCCCAGUUAUGUCCUGCCUCUUCCAGAACUUUCCUCAUUCCAACCAUCUUUUCUACUUAGGUCCCUCCUUGGAAACUUUUUAUCUUUAACAACUUCCAGCUAUGUGUGCUUGUGCACCUUAUAACCUCUUUGAGAGUCAAGUUCUGCUAUGUCUGUAAGGCAGGGAUGGAUAGUAUUCAAAUAAACACUGCCUUGUGUACCUAAAGGGCUGCCAUGAGUACCGAAUAUGCCAUGGUGGAGAAAACAUUCAUUGAGCUGUGAGUUAUAUGCUGCAGUAGUAGAACUCACUCUGCUGAUUCACCCUACUGAUGCAAAAUUCCCCCAGUUAGGCCAGAAGUUGGUUACGGUGUUAAUGAUUUUGAGACACCUGCAGCUCCUUAUACAAAGUAAGUGCACAAUCAACAUUUGGGGGUGAUAUGGUGGAGUCUAACUCAGUUUCUGGAGUCAAGUCUGGGCUGGAAUUUCAUACUGUUUGCUAUCUUUGUGACCAUGAUUAGUUAAUUAAUGUUGCAAGAGCUUCUGUCUCUUCUUUAUAAAAUGGGGAGGAAAAAUAAAUACUUUGGAGAAAAGUUGAGAAAAUUAAUGAGACUGGCCGGCGCUGUGGCUCACUAGGCUAAUCCUCCUCCUGCGGUGCC